CUUGCUCCGGGAGUUUCACCGCCUGCAUCCGGACAAGCCUGGUGGGUCGCCGGGGGGCUCCCGUUGAGGGGGGGUACUGUCAUGGUCUCCGCUCCUCGUCAGCUGACAGCCGUCAGGUGUUUUGUUUUUGUUUACCUUUCUCUCUCACCUCUGCUCUCCCUUUCUCUCUCGCCCUCUUCCAUUCUCUCUUUCUCCUGCCGGGGCGGAGCUCAGUAUGGGCUCCUGCCCCUGGCCUACGCACCUGGAGGUGAUCAGCACAUCUGUCGCUGAUCAUGAAAGAUUGGAACCCUUCUUAAGAGGGCGAGUCUGCUCUACUCGUCGCUGGAUCGUUGAGUCAUCAGCAUUGCCUCUGGACUUGUUCUUCCCCUGUGCCUGGCGACUGAACGGGAGCAAGAGAGAUAAAGGAGAGGAGAUGUGCUAGGACUGAAUGGAAACUUUCCCUUCCUGGACUCCUGCCUCUUUCACUCCUGGACCCUGGAACCCCGGCCCCUUUUUCCUUUGACACUAUUAUGUGUAUAUAUGAAUUCCACUGUAGGAAACACUGUAAAUAAAUGCACCUUUUGAAGACA